AAGAAAGUGACUGCUGCCCCGCACAGGGGCGAGCUAAUAGAACGCGAACACAACAAGUUUCAUAGAAGCCGAAGUGCAUCAAACGGUGUAGAAGCCCGAACCCCGAACCCCGAACCCCGAACCCCGA
rnacentral:sRNA from 1 species